UCUCGGGUACUCUCACCCAGUUUCUCUCCUGUCUCUUUCUAUCACCCCUUUCUCCCUGCUUUUCCGCCUCCUCAGCACCUGCACAAAAUUAGACCAAGGGCCACAUGAAGAAGGACUGCAGGCCUGUGGCAGAGCAUCUGCUUUGCAUGCAGAAGAUCCCAGACUCAGCCCUUGGGAUCUCCAGAGGGAACUGGGAAUGUCCUCUGCCUCAAAUCCUGGAAGUGCAGCUGCACCACGCCCAUCCCUCAAGACAAUGAACUAGAUGGACCAACAGUCUCUGACUCAGGACAAGACAUGCCAUGGACCCCUGACCUAUGUUGCCUGGCAGUGCCUCUCCCGGGUUUCAGACUGGGUGUGUUUCUCACCUGUACCUGGAGAUGCCAUUGGGGACUGAGCCUGGGACCUACAAAACAGGUGCUCUGCCACUGAUCUAUGUCCCUUCCCUGAGUUAGAACAGACUGUGAUGGUCCACAAACUCCCCAGUGGCGUGCCUGGUGCUGCGUGUUUGGGAAGAAGUGAACUGCAGGUCCCAUUAAUUUAUUUGUCACGUGCAAGAAAUUUUGUUAAAUAAAUG